GUCUUGGUCUGGUGCUCAGUAAGUUGUGCACAGAGGUUUUAUCAGAGCUCUUUGACUAAAACGGCUUCCUGCUGUGUCUGGAAACAUGAUUGAUGAGAGCAUCAAGUUUACAUUCAUCCAAAACAAUGAGCUGAAAGAAACCGAAACACUUUGACACGCUCAUCUUUGUUCUUAAACGCUUGCAUAACACAUAUUGAUUACUUCAGCUUUAAGGGCUGGGUGGGAGAGGGUAGUCUGACCGUUAUGUGCUUGGAGAACCUUUUUCCUCUGUCAAAAGCUCCCAGAGACAAACAUAUUAAGUCUUACUCAUAAGAAUCUGACAAAAUGCUGAGUUCACAUGCACCUGAUGAAGUGAUAACUCAAACUGUGUGCUGUUUUGACAGCAUGUUUUGACAGUGCAAAACAAUGAGAUCCUGCGUAUUUGUGUGUACUAAACUUUACUCUUAUGUGUAAAUAAAGUUGAUCUGUAACAGGCUUUUUGGUGCAAACAAUAGCACGUUAGAUUCCUAGUCAAACACUUGAGAUGUGAUUCAAAGUUUGUGGGUUUAAGACCCACCAGUCAGGUUUUUGUUGUUUACAGAUGUGGUUUUUACUGGGAAAUAUCAUCUUUUGGUGUGGUAUGAUAUCUUUAAUCUGCACACGUUUUUUUUGUUUGUUUAUAUUUUGUUUUAGUUUUUUUUUUUUUUUUUUUUUUUUUUUUUUUUUUGUUGGUCAUCUGCUAAUUAGAGGGUCAGAGGCUCGAUUUCCUGGCUCCUCCAGUCUGCACGUCGAAGUGUCCUUGGGCAAGAUGGUGAUAAGAGUGGAAAACAAGAAAUAAAUAUUAUUUACUUAGUAAUGUGUGCUCAGUCUUAGCACAAGUCAGUGAACUCUAAUUGCCACAGCUCUGGAUUAUUUAUGAAGAUUUGGGAAACCUAAUUCUGUUGUAUGUGUUCGCAUUUCUCAGUUUAAUAAGGAUAUCUUUCCCACGUUUGAGUUGAACCAAGAGGCACUGAAAAAGUUUGUAAUUCAAGACCCAAAGUGCUUAUUGUUGAGACAAGUACACAUUUGCUUGUCCUGAAAUGCCACAGCUGUGUUUAGCUAACCACAGCGAGUGAGUCCUUAAAAGACGCCACAUGAGAUGAGGCUGCUAUUUCAUAGAGUUUGCUGGUUCAGUUGAGGCUUUGUGGGUCACUUUUCUUAGUAUUGCCGUCUAACUCUUCUUUCUGGAUCAAGACCAAAGUGGUUUGCGAACAGACAAUGCUAAAAAUGUCCUCUGUGUGCUAUAUUUACAGCUGUAUUUAUGGCAUAGAGGAUUUUUACACAAGUCCUGGUUUGACGCUAAAGAGGAGCAGUUAGAUUACAAAUGUGAACAUCAAAUCUUCAUAUUCAUAAGCUCUUACAGCUAAAAGAAUCUAAUUUGGAAUUAUCCCAUUUCAAACAUGCCAAACCACAU
ensembl:lncRNA